rnacentral:rRNA from 1 species
AUUGAACGCUGGCGGCAUGCCUUACACAUGCAAGUCGAACGGCAGCACGGGAGCAAUCCUGGUGGCGAGUGGCGAACGGGUGAGUAAAGCAUCGGAACGUGCCCAGUCGUGGGGGAUAACGUAGCGAAAGCUACGCUAAUACCGCAUACGAUCUGUGGAUGAAAGCGGGGGACCGUAAGGCCUCGCGCGAUUGGAGCGGCCGAUGUCAGAUUAGGUAGUUGGUGAGGUAAAGGCUCACCAAGCCGACGAUCUGUAGCUGGUCUGAGAGGACGACCAGCCACACUGGGACUGAGACACGGCCCAGACUCCUACGGGAGGCAGCAGUGGGGAAUUUUGGACAAUGGGCGCAAGCCUGAUCCAGCAAUGCCGCGUGCAGGAAGAAGGCCUUCGGGUUGUAAACUGCUUUUGUACGGAACGAAACGGUCCUGGUUAAUACCUGGGGCUAAUGACGGUACCGUAAGAAUAAGCACCGGCUAACUACGUGCCAGCCGCCGCAGUAAUAC